GCUAUUUAUUUGUUUCGAAGACUUGUAUAUUUCAUUAAAGAAUAUCUCGCCACUCCUUGACGAGUAGCUGUCAAAUACUGCCAUUUUUUAACGUCACGUGACCGGCCCGGACCAGGGCUUCCUCGUGUCUCGCCUCGUCCUCACACUGAAGCCCUGGGAACGAGGUUGCCCUUUGCUAAGAUCUCCUUUACUUGCUGUCCUCUCUUGAUUGCUUGUUCCUUAGUCUCUGCAGAGUCAAGAUAGUCGUCCACGUACAAGUUCUCGUUAAUAGCUCUCACAGCUUCUUCUUGUCCUUGUCCAUGAUCUUUAGCAGUUCGGCGAGUGACAUAAAUUGCUUCGCAUGGUGACGAGGUAUCACCGAAGGCUAAUCUGUUCAUCUGAUAAGUGUCAAUGACCUCACUGUUUUUCUCUUUCCACAGAAAGCGAUGAUAUCUAGCAUCUUGUUCCUGCAAUCUUACUCGGCUAAACAUUGCCUCGAUAUCGGCUCCGAAUGCAACAUCACCUUCCCGGAACUUUGUGAGGACUUGGGGAAGUUCAUUCUGUAGAACAGGUCCUGGGAGUAAAGCAUCGUUCAAACAUUUGCCUCUGUACUUAGCUGAGGCAUCAAAGACUACUCGGAUCUUCUUCUCGGCGGAUGAUUUCUUAUAUACCCCGUGAUGAGGGAGAUACCACUGAUUUGGUCCAUUGAGGUCGUCUUCUUCACCCACUUUGUGCGCAUAUCCGUCUUCUACAUACUUGCUGACAGCUUUGCGAUAAUCUUUCUCAUACUGUGGGUCUCGCUCAAAUCGUCGUUGCAAGCCUUCCAAUCUCUUUUGCGCGACUUCUCGAUUGUUCUGAAGCUAUGGUUCGUUUUCUUUCCAUAACAAGGGGACCUCGUAACCGGUCUCCAACUUCCUAGUCUCGUGUUCCAGUAUAUCCAAGGCUCGUUGAUCAUCAUUGGAGUAGUGUGGC